GCCUGAGUGGCUCAGUCGGUUGAGCGUCCGACUUCGGCUCAGGUCAUGAUCUCGCGGUCUGUGAGUUCGAGCCCCGCAUCAGGCU
rnacentral:tRNA from 1 species